rnacentral:rRNA from 1 species
GACGAACGCUGGCGGCGUGCUUAACACAUGCAAGUCGAACGGAAAGGCCCCCUUGUGGGGUACUCGAGUGGCGAACGGGUGAGUAACACGUGAGUAACCUACCCUUGACUUUGGGAUAACUUCAGGAAACUGGGGCUAAUACCGGAUAGGAGCUCCUGCUGCAUGGUGGGGGUUGGAAAGUUUCGGCGGUUGGGGAUGGACUCGCGGCUUAUCAGCUUGUUGGUGGGGUAGUGGCUCACCAAGGCUUUGACGGGUAGCCGGCCUGAGAGGGUGACCGGCCACAUUGGGACUGAGAUACGGCCCAGACUCCUACGGGAGGCAGCAGUGGGGAAUAUUGCACAAUGGGCGGAAGCCUGAUGCAGCAACGCCGCGUGCGGGAUGACGGCCUUCGGGUUGUAAACCGCUUUCGCCUGUGACGAAGCGUGAGUGACGGUAAUGGGUAUAGAAGCACCGGCUAACUACGUG